AUACGGAGGAUCCGAGCGUUAUCCGGAUUUAUUGGGUUUAAAGGGUGCGCAGGCGGCCAUUUAAGUCAGCGGUUAAAUCGUGGGGCUCAACCCCAUUCUGCCGUUGAUACUGGGUGGCUUGAUUGCGGUCGAGGUUGGCGGAAUUCGUUGUGUAGCGGUGAAAUGCAUAGAUAUGACGAAGAACACCGAUUGCGUAGGCAGCUGGCCAGACCGCAAAUGACGCUCAUGCACGAAAGUGCUGGGAUCGAACAGGAGUAGAUACCCUGGUAGUCCGCACAGUAAACGAUGAAUACUUGUUUUCGGCGAUAUAAUGUCGGAGGCAAAGCGAAAGCGAUAAGUAUUCCACCUGGGGAGUACGCCGGCAACGGUGAAACUCAAAUGAAUUGGCGGGG
rnacentral:rRNA from 1 species